CACCAGGACCAGGAUCUAACUGGGGAUUAAUAGGUGGAAUUAUUGGAGGAGUUGUGGCAGCCAUUCUGGUUGUUGUAGUUGUGGUUGUCCUUAUCAAAAGACACAGAAAACAAAAUGACGAUACAGAAAACAGACACAACGUGCCCCUGGUAGAAGUUCCAAGUAGACAGCCAGGGAGAAUGAUAAUAGAUGAGGUGGUGAACUACAUCAGUGCUGAUGAAAUUAAGAAAGAUGAAACUGCAAACUAUGCACAAGUAAACAAAGACAAUAAACCAACAGAAAUAAAACCGAAUCCAGAAUCUCUUUAUGCAACUGUAAAUAAAACUAAGAACGGAGAGGCUUAUGAAAAUGUGGGUAUAUUUGGUGACAUCAAUGGUAUUAAUACAAAUGAAUAUGAAAACCAUUCAAUUAAGCCUGGUCCUACCGAAACAGUUUAUGCCGAUCUAGAUUUUGAUGGCCACCAACCAACUACAACCAUACGAGGCCAGGAAGAAGCUGUAGAAUAUAGUGGUAUUGAUUAUACUAAACGUGGACCAACUCAACCAACACCACCAGAUAGUAGUGAUGAGGAGGCGGACAAUCGAGAGUAAGCAACAUGGUUAGCACACCACUCCAACAAUAUUAGGACUAAUACACUAUUUUGAAUAAUAAUUCUCUUUUUGAUCUAGUUUCUGUGACAACCGAUGUUGAAAUUAAUUUGCAUUAAACAUUUCGCGUGAUGAUAUGAGUAUAUAUAGUUAAUUAUUUAACAGAAUAUCGACAAGUAGAUAUCGUAGUUCAGAAUUUUUACUUUGUUAUGAAAUGAGAUAUAAAUAUCAUUUUAAAGUACAACCAGUGUUUUAUAUUUUAAGUUGUUAAGCAAGUAAUAUUACACCAUAAUAAUUAAAAAUUUGAAAAACGGCAAUAUUGCUACAUUAAAAAGGUAUUAUGUAAGAUUUAGGUAAAGAGUUGACCGUUCUCGUUAUAAUAGUUCAAAAAUAUAUAAUGCAAAAUGAAUAUAUUGAAAAUCUCAAUCAAAUUACUUUAUUCGGAGUAGUUGAUUGUUUAUUGUCGUAACCACAGUACUGGUAUAUUCGAGGCCUAGCCUCGAUUCUCUAUUUUUGAAUGAUUUCAUUAAAUCGCCGAACAGUUCUAAUCUAAUUUUAAGGAAAUACAUUUUAACCCUUUAAAAUAGGAAAACUGGCCUAAAUUGACGACAGUUUAUCCAAUGUUCGGAUCUUUCAUUGGUCUUCAUUAUCUGUCACAUCGAUUGAUUCACUAGUUGUUAUAGUAAUACCCUUUUACAAUUUCUGUGGUCUGGAUACACGGUACUCCCUCCUCUCACAUUAUCCGUAUAUAGGGUUAGAAGUGAUAUAAAGUAAUGUGUGUGCAAAUAUUCUGAAAUGGAGCAGGUACACUGUUGAUCGGUGAGGCUGUUGUAGGUUAAGUAUUGUUUUAAAUACAAGUUACGUCCUAUCCCUGUCAGUAGAUGGUAAGGAAUUCGGAUCUCACAAAUCAUAUUAAUGAUUAUUUAACUGCAUCCUCCUGUAAUAUCAUUUGUUUAUAAACGCAACGAGGAGAAAAAUCUGUGUUAUUAUAACCUUUCAUUUUUCUGCCAAACAAAAAACAAAAAAAUAAAAAAAGAAAUAAAAAAAUAGCUUGUUGCAUUUGUAUCAUGUGACUCCCGUUGUAAAAUUUAUCAACACAACAUAUAUUGGAUAUUCAACUAGAUUACAGUUAUUAAUAUAACUUGUAUAGAGCAGUAACAUUCUCAUCACAUGUAUAUAUUUAUGUUUGUUAUCACUGAUAUGUACGGAAGACCAUUAGGGUCAAUCAAAUGAAAACGUAGGACGUAGUAAAAUUUCCCUCAUAGCACACUGCCCGUCUUCAUUAGCCCAAUCGGAGUAAAACAGCAAGACGUUAAACCCAAUUUCAUUUCAUUUCAUUUGGAGCAUGAAAAUAACGAAUGAUAUUAAUGGGAGCAUUAUAUGAAUGUGCCGAUUCUGUAACAUAAAAUAAAGUACGGCGUUGACCUAGUUAUUCGAUAAAUCAGUAUAUGGCGACCUUGAAAUAAAUUACUCAUGGGCUUCCAUCUUGUAUUUACAAGAUAAUUAGAUUUUAUUUUUCAUUUGAUUGACCUUAAUGGUCUUUCUUAGGUAUGUUUAUUUUUGACUGUUGAAAUGUAUAUAGAUUAUUUGUUUAG